rnacentral:lncRNA from 1 species
AAUGAUUUGAUGAUGAUGAUGAUGAUGUGGAUUAGAGUUAAGAUCAUCAUCAUGUAUGAUGAAAAUUGAGAGAUAAGAUCGCUGAUUGGUUUAGUUUGCUAAAGAUCGAUGACUAAGCUUCAGACAUACAACUGGAUUUGCAUAAACCUAAUUCGACGAUCCAUCACGUGGUCAACGACGAUUACAACAAGAGUGUAUACAACCCAUAAAACACUGCUGUAU